rnacentral:rRNA from 1 species
GACGAACGCUGGCGGCGUGCUUAACACAUGCAAGUCGAACGGAAAGGCCCUGCUUUUGUGGGGUGCUCGAGUGGCGAACGGGUGAGUAACACGUGAGUAACCUGCCCUUGACUUUGGGAUAACUUCAGGAAACUGGGGCUAAUACCGGAUAGGAGCUCCUGCUGCAUGGUGGGGGUUGGAAAGUUUCGGCGGUUGGGGAUGGACUCGCGGCUUAUCAGCUUGUUGGUGGGGUAGUGGCUUACCAAGGCUUUGACGGGUAGCCGGCCUGAGAGGGUGACCGGCCACAUUGGGACUGAGAUACGGCCCAGACUCCUACGGGAGGCAGCAGUGGGGAAUAUUGCACAAUGGGCGGAAGCCUGAUGCAGCAACGCCGCGUGCGGGAUGACGGCCUUCGGGUUGUAAACCGCUUUCGCCUGUGACGAAGCGUGAGUGACGGUAAUGGGUAAAGAAGCACCGGCUAACUACGUGCCAGCAGCCGCGGUGAUACGUAGGGUGCGAGCGUUGUCCGGAUUUAUUGGGCGUAAAGGGCUCGUAGGUGGUUGAUCGCGUCGGAAGUGUAAUCUUGGGGCUUAACCCUGAGCGUGCUUUCGAUACGGGUUGACUUGAGGAAGGUAGGGGAGAAUGGAAUUCCUGGUGGAGCGGUGGAAUGCGCAGAUAUCAGGAGGCACACCAGUGGCGAAGGCGGUUCUCUGGGCCUUUCCUGACGCUGAGGAGCGAAAGCGUGGGGAGCGAACAGGCUUAGAUACCCUGGUAGUCCACGCUGUAAACGGUGGGUACUAGGUGUGGGGUCCAUUCCACGGGUUCCGUGCCGUAGCUAACGCUUUAAGUACCCCGCCUGGGGAGUACGGCCGCAAGGCUAAAACUCAAAGGAAUUGACGGGGCCCCGCACAAGCGGCGGAGCAUGCGGAUUAAUUCGAUGCAACGCGUAGAACCUUACCUGGGUUUGACAUGGAUCGGGAGCGCUCAGAGAUGGGUGUGCCUCUUUUGGGGUCGGUUCACAGGUGGUGCAUGGCUGUCGUCAGCUCGUGUCGUGAGAUGUUGGGUUAAGUCCCGCAACGAGCGCAACCCUUGUUCACUGUUGCCAGCACGUUAUGGUGGGGACUCAGUGGAGACCGCCGGGGUCAACUCGGAGGAAGGUGGGGAUGACGUCAAGUCAUCAUGCCCCUUAUGUCCAGGGCUUCACGCAUGCUACAAUGGCUGGUACAGAGAGUGGCGAGCCUGUGAGGGUGAGCGAAUCUCGGAAAGCCGGUCUCAGUUCGGAUUGGGGUCUGCAACUCGACCUCAUGAAGUCGGAGUCGCUAGUAAUCGCAGAUCAGCAACGCUGCGGUGAAUACGUUCCCGGGGCU